GACGAACGCUGGCGGCGUGCUUAACACAUGCAAGUCGAACGGAAAGGCCCUGCUUUUGUGGGGUGCUCGAGUGGCGAACGGGUGAGUAACACGUGAGUAACCUGCCCUUGACUUUGGGAUAACUUCAGGAAACUGGGGCUAAUACCGGAUAGGAGCUCCUGCUGCAUGGUGGGGGUUGGAAAGUUUCGGCGGUUGGGGAUGGACUCGCGGCUUAUGAGCUUGUUGGUGGGGUAGUGGCUUACCAAGGCUGUGACGGGUAGGCGGCCUGAGAGGGGGACCGGGCACAAUGGUACUGCGAUACGGCCCAGACUCCUACGGGAGGCAGCAGUGGGGAGUAUUGCACAAUGGGCGGAAGCCUGAUGCAGCAACGCCGCGUGCGGGAUGACGGCUUUCGGGUUGUAAACCGCUUUCGCCUGUGACGAAGCGUGAGUGACGGUAAUGGGUAAAGAAGCACCGGCUAACUACGUG
rnacentral:rRNA from 1 species